rnacentral:rRNA from 1 species
GAUGAACGCUGGCGGCGUGCCUAAUACAUGCAAGUCGAGCGAACGGACGAGAAGCUUGCUUCUCUGAUGUUAGCGGCGGACGGGUGAGUAACACGUGGAUAACCUACCUAUAAGACUGGGAUAACUUCGGGAAACCGGAGCUAAUACCGGAUGAUAUUUUGAACCGCAUGGUUCAAAAGUGAAAGACGGUCUUGCUGUCACUUAUAGAUGGAUCCGCGCUGCAUUAGCUAGUUGGUAAGGUAACGGCUUACCAAGGCAACGAUGCAUAGCCGACCUGAGAGGGUGAUCGGCCACACUGGAACUGAGACACGGUCCAGACUCCUACGGGAGGCAGCAGUAGGGAAUCUUCCGCAAUGGGCGAAAGCCUGACCGAGCAACGCCGCGUGAGUGAUGAAGGUCUUCGGAUCGUAAAACUCUGUUAGUAGGAAAGAACAUAUGUGUAAGUAACUGUGCACAUCUUGACGGUACCUAAUCAGAAAGCCACGGCUAACUACGUG